UUUCCGUAGGUGAACCUGCGGAAGGAUCAUUAUUGAAUAAACCUGUUGUGGUUGUAGCUGGCCCUUUCGGGCGCAUGUGCACACCCGUCGUCUUUAUCUUUCCACCUGUGCACCUUUUGUAGACCUGGAUGUAACACUUUCCGAGGCAACUCGGUCGGGAGGAAUGCUGUCAGCUUUCCCUGAAUGUCCAGGCCGAUGUUUUCAUAUACCCCAAAGAAUGUAAUAGAAUGUAUUACUGGGCCUUCUGACUAUAAACUAUAUAAAACUUUCAGCAACGGAUCUCUUGGCUCUC
rnacentral:misc_RNA from 1 species